rnacentral:rRNA from 1 species
AAGGGACAGCAGUCGCCGCGGUAAUACAGAGGGUGCGAGCGUUAAUCGGAUUUACUGGGCGUAAAGCGUGCGUAGGCGGCUUCUUAAGUCGGAUGUGAAAUCCCUGAGCUUAACUUAGGAAUUGCAUUCGAUACUGGGAAGCUAGAGUAUGGGAGAGGAUGGUAGAAUUCCAGGUGUAGCGGUGAAAUGCGUAGAGAUCUGGAGGAAUACCGAUGGCGAAGGCAGCCAUCUGGCCUAAUACUGACGCUGAGGUACGAAAGCAUGGGGAGCAAACAGGAUUAGAGACCCCUGUAGUCCCUGUCUCUUAUAC